rnacentral:rRNA from 1 species
AGUCGAGUGCGCGUCCGUAGCAAUACGGAUGGCGCACGGCGCACGGGUGCGUAACACGUGGGCAAUCUGCCCUUCGAUGGGGGAUAACCCCGCGAAAGCGGGGCUAAUACCGCAUGACAUUCCGGGGACUCCGGUCCCUGGACUCAAAGGCCGCAAGGCCGUCGGAGGAGGAGCCCGCGCCCGAUUAGCUAGUUGGUGAGGUAACGGCUCACCAAGGCUUUGAUCGGUAGCCGGUCUGAGAGGAUGGCCGGCCACACUGGAACUGAGACACGGUCCAGACUCCUACGGGAGGCAGCAGUGGGGAAUAUUGCGCAAUGGGCGAAAGCCUGACGCAGCGACGCCGCGUGGGGGAUGAAGCUUCUCGGAGUGUAAACCCCUUUCGACCCGGACGAAUGACCCGCAAGGGUUUGACGGUACGGGUAUAAGAAGCCCCGGCUAACUACGUGCCAGCAGCCGCGGUAAUACGUAGGGGGCCAGCGUUGCUCGGAAUUACUGGGCGUAAAGGGUUCGUAGGUGGUGCGGCAAGUUGGAAGUGAAAUCUCUGGGCUUAACCCAGAGGCUGCUUUCAAAACUGCCGCGCUCGAGUGCGAGAGAGGCCAGUGGAAUUGCAGGUGUAGCGGUGAAAUGCGUAGAUAUCUGCAGGAACACCCGUGGCGAAGGCGGCUGGCUGGAUCGCAACUGACACUGAGGAACGAAAGCUAGGGGAGCAAACAGGAUUAGAUACCCUGGUAGU